ACUUGGGUGGCUUAGUUGGUUAAGCAUCUGACUUUGACUCAGGUCAUGAUCUAAUAGUUCGUGACUUCGAGCCCCAAGUC
rnacentral:tRNA from 1 species